GAUGAACGCUGGCGGCGUGCUUAACACAUGCAAGUCGAACGAUGAAGGGGGAGCUUGCUCCUCUGGAUUAGUGGCGAACGGGUGAGUAACACGUGAGCAAUCUGCCCCUGACUCUGGGAUAAGCGCUGGAAACGGCGUCUAAUACCGGAUACGAGCCGAGCAGGCAUCUGCAUCGGUUGGAAAGAACUUCGGUCAGGGAUGAGCUCGCGGCCUAUCAGCUUGUUGGUGAGGUAAUGGCUCACCAAGGCGACGACGGGUAGCCGGCCUGAGAGGGUGACCGGCCACACUGGGACUGAGACACGGCCCAGACUCCUACGGGAGGCAGCAGUGGGGAAUAUUGCACAAUGGGCGGAAGCCUGAUGCAGCAACGCCGCGUGAGGGACGAAGGCCUUCGGGUUGUAAACCUCUUUUAGCAGGGAAGAAGCGAGAGUGACGGUACCUGCAGAAAAAGCACCGGCUAACUACGUGCCAGCAGCCGCGGUAA
rnacentral:rRNA from 1 species